rnacentral:rRNA from 1 species
AUUCCAGCUCCAAUAGCGUAUAUUAAAGUUGUUGCAGUUAAAAAGCUCGUAGUUGGAUUUGUGGUGAAUUGUAGCGUCCUCUUUUGGUCUUGCUGCAAUUUGUCAUCCUUGGGUGGAAUCUGUGUGGCAUUAGGUUGUCGUGCAGGGGAGGCCCAUCAUUUACUGUGAAAAAAUCAGCGCGUUCAAAGCAGGCUUAGGCCAUUGAAUGUAUUAGCAUGGAAUAAUAGGAUAGGGCCUUGGUACUAUUUUGUUGGUUUGUGCACCGAGGUAAUGAUUAAUAGGGACAGUUGGGGGUAUUCGUAUUCCAUUGUCAGAGGUGAAAUUCUUGGAUUUCUGGAAGACGAACUACUGCGAAAGCAUUUACCAAGGAUGUUUUC